GGCAUUAAGGGGAAGGGUGGAAGCAAAAGAGAUGGUAGAGAGAGUGAACAGACCAAAGCAGGGCGAGUGUGGGCUGGAGCGGAGGGCAGCCUAGCGGCGGCCGGGGUGGGCGGCACGGACAGGGGCAGAGGUGGCGGCGGAAGGUCAGGUCGAGGCCUAGGUCCGGCGAGGCAGGGGCGGGCGCGGAGGUGUGCAGUUGGAGGGGGCGGAGGCGGGGGCGGGCAGGGCCGGAGGGACGCUCGUCUAGGUGUCAGUAGCUGUAGGGGCCGAGGGCUAGACAGGCCGGGCGCGAGGAGGGCAGGUGACGUAUCUUUCUCCCUUGGGUCCUUGGGGACAUGCCGGAGUCGAACCAGUAUUCAUAAAGCUCUUUGGGGUUCUUCAGACUUCUUUGGGCCUCCCUCCCUCUGGUGUCUCCUCCGACCUGUUCUACUAGCCGCACCCCUUCCGCUUUGUCAUGCGUUUGCACGAGCUAUUCGGAGAGCCAGCACCGUCUGUUCUCCAGUCAAACUCACACAAACGUAAGAACAAGAGUCUCAAUCAAGUUAUGUUGGUCUGUGUUCAACUGUUGUAACGACUCGACCUUGCCUCCGACCUCCUACGACCAAUACGACAACCACGUUCUCAAGAACUUGACGACACAGUGUCCCUCUUCCCCUUAUCUGCUCUCUGAGCUGACGACCCGUAAAAUAGUAAGUAAGUGUCGUGUCAUACCUUUCAUGACAAACCUUUCCACCGACUGAGCGAACUCUUUCCUUGUCUUGUACUCCUACUUAUGUACUAAUCACUCUUCCUCGAAGAACAAUUGGCCAAGUAAAGGCACGGCUUUCUGUACCCCCGUAAGUUGACACCUCGAAAACAACGUCCCUAACAUUCCCCGCAUGACCUAUUACGACCGAAAGGGCGCCACCACUGUCGUGUAAAACACGGUUAACUUCCGGUCGUCUCCGGGUCCUGUUGUUAGAACUAAUUUAAACGACCUCUCCAAUAUGUUGCCCUUCGUUCCGAACCGACUUUGAGCAGUAGAUGCAUGUGGAGUUGCCCCUUCUAACGAAAAUAGGUGGUUCCGUUGUUCUUUUGAAGGUGGCCGUCAUAUAAGUGGAAACAAAAGGAGUGUAGUUCACGGAGGUUUACGAGGUCAAAACGUUAUAGGAGACCUUCAAGCCAUUGUGAUGGGGGUUCCGAGUCUAUGAAGUCGUCGUCGUCCAACGUAUACGGAAACUAUACUAGUAGGAAGUUCAGUAGUGUAAAAAGUUCUAGUUCCUGGGCGUCGUCAAGUAUGAACGGCUUCAACUCAUGUCAAAAUGUACGGAGGGGCUUCUAACAGUCCCUAGCCUGUUCACUAUUUAGUUAUAAGAACUUGGACAGUAGUAGAAAUCGUAAAAAUACUACCUCUCUUUCGGCGGCCCGUAUAAACGGUCGGAGAAAGAACAGUAGUGUUUUGUUUCAAUGUUUCAAGACUCUCUAACUGUUGACGUUUUACUUGAGUGCGUAGUACGGUAUUCAAACCGUUCAGAAUUGCAAUGGUAACAACGAAUGUGGCUACCCAAGCUACUCCAAAGCCAGGUAUUCGAGCAGUUUUAAAAGUCGACGUUCAAAGUACCGUAGUGUACUUCGAACCCAAAGAUGUUAGGGGAGUCGACUGGUAGCGGAGUUGUUCGAAAAGAAAGAGUACCCUACUAGUGAGCCCUUGUACCGUUUUAUAUUGUUCGUCCGAAACUCUCGUACCGGCGGGUCUGACCGCAUCGAUGCGUAGUCUCGCGCAGCGUAUAGUGGUUUCCAGAGAGGCAAGAGGUAUACCAUUGCUUACAACAACGUACGUAGAAGUGUCCAUACAGGUUAGCCGGUUGGUUAACUAAAGUUCUUAAGUGGGUACCAUUAGUCCCGUUCCCCGACCGGUAUUGUAAACAAGUCUUAACGACAACAUAGUCCGACCAGCAUUACGUUUAUAAAGAAGCCCGUUCGAAAGAGACUCUUAUUGGCGAAGCUCGUAAAAAGUAGCUCAGAUGAGUAAGACACGUGUAUCGGCAAGAGUCUCGACGUCCGUCAUCGUUGACUGACUUAUCAACAGCAGUGGUGUUGAGACGACGAAGGUAGCAACAGUAGACCCUUUCGACUAAACUAAAAAAAAGGUGACUUGAACGCAGACUUACAGUAGCUAAUGUUACUUUAUAGACUUUUUGUUUAGUUGUUCUCUUUUACUAAAUUAGACGUAGGAAAGACUUCGGUCGAUAUGUAUUACUGAAACG
rnacentral:rRNA from 1 species